GUCUGAUUGGUGUGGUCGAAGAUCCAACCGAACCUGCAAACCAGGACUCACCAAUCAACACCAGCUGGCCUACUAAUAGUUUGUGUUUCUGCAGUUGGAGGCGACUGUGAGCCAGUGAUCAGUUCGCCUUGUUGUUGGUUGUGUACCCUUGUGAAUUUCUUGAGUGUUGAAUUUACCUGUUUCUGUCGGUUGCCUGCUUAAGUGACUCCUGUCAGUUAGAAACCUUGUGAACUACAGAGUGUGAGUGGCACUCUUUAGGGUGGAACAUUGUCUGUUUGGUUACCCUACAUUCUUGUAAAGCAUGUAGGUACUGACCUCCUUUUGUUCAGUGUUUUUUUUGAGUAGAGAGCUGUCUUUGGACACUACCUCCUUUUGUUUCUGUUUUUUUGUCAGUACUUACAUAGCCUCCUUUCGUUGUGUUUUUUCUGAGACAAAUCAUUUAAUUAAACAAUUGACUCAAACCUGAAUUCAGUUGUCCUUACCACCUUCAUCUAUCCCAAAUACCUUGUUACUGCCCUAUCCUAACGAGCUGGGUUGUAACACAGGUGAAAAGACGCAUAGAGUAAAAUUAAUACAAAUAAUUAGUUUACAUGUAAAGUUUACACAUUCAAACUGGCUAGCUGUUAGCUCGACCAAACGCGGCCUUAGACAAACAAACAGCAUUGUCAUUGAAUUGGCCAUUUUCUCCUGGGAUGGCCCCUUAUCCUGUCAGUGGGUGUAGAAGUGGACUCGAUGAAUUCUGUUCCUGUACUUUGAUAUAAUCCACCCCUGGUAGGGAGUAGACUUGCUAGCUGUGCACAAGGUUACUGCUGUCACCAUCGUCAACAGAAAACAAUGUUGUCCUGAAAGGCUGCUGGGGACACAGAUCCUGAUUAGGAAGUCAACGUCGUACAAUAACAUCGAAAACCCCAGUUGUGGUGUUAUCUCAUCAGUGGAGGGUACAUCAGUAUUCACAUUCCAGUGUGCAGGCAUGGAAGGUCGCUACGUCAUUGUGACCAUUCCAGGAGACUGGAAGGUUCUGACGCUAUGUGAAGUGAAUGUGUAUGCUUCUCUGGCAGUACCAGUAGUUGUCAUUCUUCUCUUUCUACUGCUCCCCCUCCUCCCACUGUGAACAUGCUACUGAGUGGCAGGAAUGUGACAGCGGUGGGAGAGUCAUCCAUGCAUUGAUGCAUUCAUUUUCAAGGCCAUCACAUGGGGGUUUCUCUCACUGUAAUGUCAUGUAACCAUCAGUCUGAUGGAGGGCGGAUGACUCGAUAUCUCUUGACCUCUGAGAGUUAGCUGAGACCAAGAUUGUCACCUUUUCUCAGCUAAGAGCCUGUUCUUUCUUAUUGUUUAUUUUCUAAUUGUUUGUGUGGUUUUUGUUAACAGUAUUCCCAUAUUUGAGAUGAACUAAGAAAUCUGGGCACUGCAGUAAACCACUGAUUAAAUUUAACAAAACAUUAUUAAUUCAUACAUUAUAAUCUCAACAUAAGUAGUGACUAUAUAAAC